AGUACCAAGCUGUAUGCUAAUUAAAUGAAAUUCAUGAUAUUAAUUCAUUUUUUUUCAGGGAGAUGCAAGUUGCUCCUACCUCCCUAUCUACAACAGUGCUCACAGUCCAGUUUUAGCAUUUUUGGGCUACAUGGGCUUAUAUUUGCAUCGUCUAACAUUUUGUUUUAUAUUCCAAACUCCCAGUCGUUUAGUAUUCAGUUGGACAGCCGUAAAUUUAGAUCUCUGACCAGAUGUUCUGGAUUUGUUAUCUGUUAUCUCAAUAUGUAGGACACCAGAGAAAUGUCCCUAUUAGCACAGUGUGAGCGCAUCAUUAGACUCACACUGUGUAAAAUAAACUCUGCAGGAAUUUCCUUUUCACCAUUCAUCAUAAUUCUCUGUAUAAUGAAUAAACUCCUAUAGUUGUUUUAAAUAGGAAAACUUCUUCACCUUUUCAGAGAUACAGUAGAGACAUCUAAAAGCAGAAGUGCUUGAGACAGCAGUGACAAAAAUGCAAAUAUUUGUGUUAAAGUUGCUGUUUAUUUAACACAGUGGUUCUCAACCCAGUCCUCACGACCCAGCAACAGUACAGGUUUUUUUCAAUAUCUCCAAUGGAAUAAAAAAGAGGAAUACACAAAUCUGGAUUCUUGGUGGCUAUGUUGAUUGGUUUGGGAUCCACUGAUUGAACAGUAUGUCUAGCAGGGUUCCUUACAGUCAUCUGCUACAAUGCAGCCUCUCAGAUAUGGUGGACAGGGAUGUAUUUACCACAAGGCAAACAAGGCAUUUUGCACUUUCAGGGGGGGCGCCAAAAAAUGCCAUCCCAAGCUCCCAGACAAAUGCCUUGCUUGCCUUGUGUUCUGGGGCUGUCCACCUUAUUGUGAGUGAGUGUAGCUGUCAGUAUGUGUCUGUGAGUGAGUGAAAGUGUGUGUGUCUUUCAGUGAGAAUGGGUGUGCCUGUGAGUGUGUGUAUGUCAUUUUAUGUGUAUCUGAAAGUGUGUGUCUGUCAGUGAAAAUGUGUGUUGGUUAAACAGUGUGUGCCAAUGACUGUGUAUCUGUCAGUGAGUGUAUAUCAGUGCACGUAUCAAUGGGGGUAUGUAUCUGUCAGUCAAAAAAGUGGCCUUGACACGAAUUGGGGGGUCAAAUUUAGAUUUUGGGGGUGCCCGAAUUUAGUCGUGCCUAGGGCAGCACAAAUCCAAAAUACACCACUGAUGGUGGAACACUCCCUAUUCUGUAAAUUGUGAAUUUAAAUGCUAAUUUGCAAAUAUUACUCCUUGUCAAUCAUUGUUGUAAGCUCUAUCCUUUCAAUUGGCAGUCAACAUAGAAAAAGCAUCCAGAGAAAAGAGAAAUGGAACAAUGGGGUUAUGUAUAAAAAGUAAUGCUGUUUGUUGUGUUUCAUGUUUGCUCCAAUAUUCAAUAUUUUCCCUAUGCUCCAAAUUCUCCAUGUUUGUGCCCUUGCCAGUUUUAAACAUCAUUAUGCCAUUUUGAAUAACAGUGUUGUUGAACUUUAUAAAAAAAAAGGGGGGGGGGGGGGGAAGGUACAACAGUGCACCCUUUCUUCAACACAAUUUUACACUCUGUCAGAGUGGGGGAUAUUUUUAAAUAAUAUUACAAAAUUUCAAUAUUUUAAACAAUAUCCUUUAGAUAGCAAAAUCAAAUUUUAUUUGAUAGUAAUAUUACUUAUUUAGUGGUUAAAAUAAAAAAGGACAAAAGAGCACACAAAUGGAUUGCAAUAUCACUUUUUACAUCUUUAAUAUACAUUUAAACAGAGACAGAACACAUGGUGAACAAAGUUUACACAAACUAUGGGUUAUUUUCAAUAUUCCAUCCAAUGGUUUAAUUUGACAGUUUUAAGUGACAGUUCCACUUUCAGAUAUGUGUGAUCCGUUUGAUAGGUUCCCUAUUGUAAUGACAUGUUUUUUCCACUUUAGUGAAACUUUUUCCCAGGUUGCAUCUGUGAUAGCUUGUGAGAUUUUGCUUCCUUGUAAAUUGACUGAUUGUGGUUACACCUUCUGCAUGUCCUCCAUAAGGCACUGUACUCAUCCUUUCUCCCAGGCCCAUCUAAAGUGAGUUGCGAACAAAUACUACGGCCUAGAUUAUGGGAUUCUGAGUUGUCAGAAUCAGAUGUAAUUAGGAGGGAUGGAACCAGGGAUUUGUGCACCAGUAUUCUGUCAAGUGACUUUCUCAUGUAAGGUUUAUUUUAAAAGUUCCUCUUCAACGCAAUCUAAUAAAAAAAUUGGGGGGGCUGAAUGUGCUGCUGUGGGUUUAUAAAAGGCAGUUAGUUUUGCCUCAGUUAUAGGUGUUUGGCUCAAAGCAUUGUCCAGAGAUACUUUAAAAUCAUAUUUUCAUGAUUCAAUGUGUGUGCACACACACACACACACACGGUCACUGACUGUGUUCAGGCAUUGUGGGACAUUAGGACCUGACUUGUUUUUUUGUUUUUUAUUUAACUAAUACCUAAAUUAUAGUUUGCUAUAUCAACCUGAUGUGGCACCUUUUAUUUACAGAAAUGCCCUCAGUCUGCAGAUCUAUUAGAAACAGUUAUAACUGCAUUGUCAAAAGUGUUCUAACAAAAAUCAAGGAUGGUUGGUAAAUACAAUAUUUCUGACAUCCUUAAAAAGACACUAUAGUCACCAAAAUAACUUUAGCUUUUGGUAUAUAGAUAAUGCCUGUGCAAGCUCACUGCUCAUUUCUCUGCCAUUUAUGAGUUAAAUUACUUUGUUUAUGCAUCCCUAGUCACGCCUCCCUGCAUGUGACUUACACAUGCUUCCUAAACACUUCCUGUAAAAAGUCAUCUAAUGUUUACACAUCCUUUUUUGCAAAUUCUGUUUAAUUUAAAAUUUCUUAUAUCCUGCUCUGGUAAUCACUUGCUGGACCCGGCAGGAGCCUCCUGUAAGUAAUUAAUGUUCACGUAUGUUACAUCUGCUAGAGAAUGAAACCAUUUUCUUUUCAUGCAGGCUGUGUCAGUCACAGUCAGGGGUGUGGCUAGGGCUUCAUAAACAGAAACAAAAGUGAGUUAACUCCUAAAUGGCAGCAAAAUGAAAAGUGAACUUCAGAGGCCUGAUCUAUUCACAAAAAUUGCUUCAUUAAGCUAAAGUUGGUUUGGUGACUAUAGUGUUCCUUUAAGGGACACUCCAGGCACAGAUACAACUUUUAUACAUUUGAUGGAUUUUGGCCUCUUUAAUAUGCUCAGUGGCAGAACUACCAUGGUCACAGGGGUUGCAGCUGCAGCCUGGCCCGGCUGCCCUGUCGAUGGACUGAUGGACAGAACUGGACUGAUCACUCAGGAAAUCCAGGGCCAGCAAAACUUCAGGGCCGGUGCCUUGGGGCAAGCUGUGGCCUGGUGACCAACAUUGCAUAUAGCACAGUGCUCUUCUGCCAGUCACUGCAUGUAGCAUUGGCGAAUGGACUGCAGUCUGCAAGGAAGUGCUCACUGAGAGAAAUAAGCACUUCCUAUCAGACUGGGUAUCAUGGUCUGCUAGCAGGUGAGCAGGUACAGGAGGUAAGCAUGGAGGUGAGCAGGUAUAGGAGGGGAGGGAGAUGAGGGAUAGACACAUUGAUGAGCAGGAGGGAAUAAUACACAUGUAGCGAAUGGGGGGGGAUGAGAAACAUGCGUGGGCCCCAGGGCAAUUUUCGCACCAGCCCCAGUGCAAUUUUCGCACAUUGGUUUCUAGUUAUACCUUUUAAUAUGUGGUAUUUUUUUUGAAAGCUCAAAUCUUUAUAGUUUUUGCACAAAAUAAAUAUAUGUUUAGCAGAAUGCUGCACCAUAAGCCUGCCUCCUUAGCCACACCUUCUUUAAGCCGGAAAUACUUCCUUAUCAAAGGUAUGCACACAGUCUCAGCCCCAACAGCACUGAGUGAGCAGUCUGGCUGCAAACAGACAUAGAAGCUACAAACAAGUAGUGAUAUCCUUACUGAAGCCCUCACAGGGUCCUCUCCUAAUGUUGUUUUGUAGUUCAGACCAUUCAGUGUGGUCUGUGGCUGAGCAGUGUGCAUACAUUUGAUUAGGAAGUCUUUUCUGGCAUGAGGAGGUGUGGCUAAAGAGGCAGCUUUAUGGUGCAGCUUUCUGCAAAACAUGUAUUUGUUUUAUUGCAAAACUAUACUGAAUUGAGCAUACAUAAAAAUACAGCAUAUUAAGGAGUUCAAAACCUAUCAAAUGCCUUACAGUAGUGUUGGUGCACAGGGUGUCCCUUUAAAUCCAUUAUUCAUACAUAACUGUUUUCAAGAUGGAAAAUGAGAUAGUAACAAGAGUAACAGUAAGGAAUAAAGGGGAAAUACCCCACAUUUUACUUUAGCUUAUUUACAAUUAUAUACAGUGUAAUGAUUUCUACCAUUGUUCUUUAUGACUUCUAUAAUUCUUCUUUAUUGGGUAUACAGAACCAAAAUGAUUUUUAGAUCAGAAACAUAGAAUGUGACAGCAGAUAAGAACCAUUCGGCCCAUCAAGUCUGCCCAAUUUGUUAAAGGACCACUCUAGGCACCCAGACCACUUCAGCUUAAUGAAGUGGUCUGGGUGCCUGGUCCAGCUAGGGUUAACCCAUUUUUUUAUAAACAUAGCAGUUUCAGAGAAACUGCUAUGUUUAUUAAUGGGUUAAGCCUUCCCCCAAAGCCUCUAGCGGCUGUCUCAUUGACAGCCGCUAGAGGCGCUUGCGUGAUUCUCACUGUGAAAAUCACAGUGAGAGCAUGCCAGCGUCCAUAAGAAAGCAUUGAUAAUGCUUUCCUAUGCGACCGGCUGAAUGUGCGCGCAGCUCUUGCCGCACGUGCGCAUUCAGCCGACAGGGAGGAAUGGAGGAGGAUCGGAGGCAGAGAGCUCCCCGCCCAGCACUGGAAAAAGGUAAGUUUUCCCCCUUUUCCCCUUUCCAGAGCCGGGUGGGAGGGGGUCCCUGAGGGUGGGGGCACCCUCAGGGCACUAUAGUGCCAGGAAAACGAGUAUGUUUUCCUGGCACUAUAGUGGUCCUUUAACAGGUUUUUUUCGUCUUUUCUACAUAGAUUCUUGAGAGUGAGUUGUAUCCACAAAUACUUAAUAUUUUCAAGAAAAUAAUUUUUUUAAAGCUAAUUUUGCACCCAAUAGAAUAACAAUCAUAAGGCUCUGUUAACCUCAAAUGUUGUCUGCUAGAAAAGCAGGUUAUCUGCUUUAGGCAAGUAUGACUUGCAGUUUGUUCCACUUUGUCAGAAGGCUCUACUGUGAAAGCAAUGUGAAAGAAAUGUUAGAAAGAUAAUAUAUUUUGCAGAUUAUGCCAGAACUGUUUGAGGCAUUGCUUCCUGUAAAAAUUACUGGAAUAGUUUUCUUAAUAAAAAAAAUCACAUAUAAAUUGUAUUAAAAAUAUGUCAUUGUGUAAAAUGAAAAAGUUGCAGAAUGUGGUGAUUUUUUUCUAAAC